GGGGGGUUGGUUCUGUGGUUAUAGCGUAGGUCUUGUAACCAAAAGGUUGCGGGAUCGAAUCCCGCUAGAGGCUG
rnacentral:tRNA from 1 species